AAAGGAAUAGACGGGGGCCCGCACAAGCAGUGGAGUAUGUGGUUUAAUUCGACGAUACGCGAAGAACCUUACCAGGUCUUGACAUCCUACUAACGAAGCAGAGAUGCAUUAGGUGCCCUUCGGGGAAAGUAGUGACAGGUGGUGCAUGGUUGUCGUCAGCUCGUGUCGUGAGAUGUUGGGUUAAGUCCCGCAACGAGCGCAACCCUUAUGGUUAGUUGCUACGCAAGAGCACUCUAACCAGACUGCCGUUGACAAAACGGAGGAAGGUGGGGAUGACGUCAAAUCAUCAUGCCCCUUAUGUCCUGGGCUACACACGUACUACAAUGGCCACUAACAACGGGAUGCAAUGGCGCGAGCCGGAGCCAAACCCCAAAAGCGGUCUCAGUUCAGAUUGCAGGCUGAAAUUCGCCUGCAUGAAGUCGGAAUUGCUAGUAAUCGCGGAUCAGCAUGCCGCGGUGAAUACGUUCCCGGGCCUUGUACACACCGCCCGU
rnacentral:rRNA from 1 species